GGAGAUUUAGCUCAGUGGUAGAGCUUGCCUAGAAAGUGCAAGGCCCUGGGUUCGGUCCCCAGCUCCG
rnacentral:tRNA from 1 species